rfam:Lepisosteus oculatus linkage group LG14, whole genome shotgun sequence.
GUUGUUGCAAUAGUAAUCCUGCUCAGUACGAGAGGAACCGCAGGUUCAGACAUUUGGUGCGUGUGCUUGGCUGAGGAGCCAAUGGUGCGAAGCUACCAUCUGUGGGAUUAUGACUGAACGCCUCUAAGUCAGAAUCCCGCCUAAACGCAACGAU